UUCUCCUUACAUUUGAUUUGAUCCUAAAGGUGCUCGGAUGUAUUGUCCUAGUGCCAAACAAACCCCCGGCGCGAGAAGCGCCAAGGAAUACUCUAACAAGGGCUGGAUCCGUCCUCUCCCGUUCGCGGGGCCAGGGGAUCGGGGAAAGCUUCUUUCUAAACUAAAACGACUCUCGGCAACGGAUAUCUCGGCUCUCGCAUCGAUGAAGAACGUAGCGAAAUGCGAUACUUGGUGUGAAUUGCAGAAUCCCGUGAACCAUCGAGUCUUUGAACGCAAGUUGCGCCUGAAGCCAUUAGGCUAAGGGCACGCCUGCCUGGGCGUCACGCAUCGCGUCACCCCUCCCCCAAUUUCGGUGGAUGGGGUGGAAUGUGACCUCCUGUGCCUACGGGUGCAGUUGGUCGAAAUCUGAGUCCGGAGCUUAGGACGUCACGGCAAGUGGUGGUUGGAUAACAACUCUCGUGUUGUCGUGUGCCCAAACUCUCGCGACUGUAGAGACCCUAAGGCGCGUGUUGCCUCCCCUUUGCGGGGUUGAUGACUCGUGCUACGACCGCACCCCAGUCAG
rnacentral:rRNA from 1 species